rnacentral:rRNA from 1 species
CCUACGGGAGGCUGCAGUGGGGAAUAUUGCGCAAUGGGCGAAAGCCUGACGCAGCGACGCCGCGUGAGGGAUGAAAGUCUUCGGAUCGGAAACCUCUGUCAGCAGGGAAGAACGGUCACUGUGCUAAUCAGCAGUGAAUUGACGGUACCUGCAAAGGAAGCACAGGCUAACUCCGUGCCAGCAGCCGCGGUAAUACGGAGGGUGCGAGCGUUAAUCGGAAGUACUGGGCGUAACGCGCUCGUAGGCGGUAUGUCAAGUAAAGGGUGAAAUCCCCGCGCUCAACGUGGGAACUGCCUUUGAAACUGGCAAACUUGAGUGUGUGAGAGGAUAGUGGAAUUCCAGGUGUAGGAGUGAAAUCCGUAGAUAUCUGGAGGAACAUCAGUGGCGAAGGCGACUAUCUGGCACAUAACUGACGCUGAGGAGCGAAAGCGUGGGUAGCAAACAGGAUUAGAUACCCUUGUAGUC